ACGCACGCUGGCGGUGUGCUUCACACAUGCAAGUCGCACGGUAAGGCCCUUUCGGGGGUACACGAGUGGCGAACGGGUGAGUAACACGUGAGUAACCUGCCCUCAUCUCUGGGAUAACAGUCGGAAACGGUUGCUAAUACUGGAUAUGAGCUUGCAAGGCAUCUUGUGGGUUGGAAAGAUUUUUUUGGUUGGGGAUGGACUCGCGGCCUAUCAGCUUGUUGGUGAGGUAGUGGCUCACCAAGGCUUCGACGGGUAGCCGGCCUGAGAGGGCGACCGGCCACAUUGGGACUGAGAUACGGCCCAAACUCCUACGGGAGGCAGCAGUGGGGAAUAUUGCACAAUGGACGGAAGUCUGAUGCAGCAACGCCGCGUGCGGGAUGACGGCCUUCGGGUUGUAAACCGCUUUCAAUUGUGACGAAGCUUUUUGUGACGGUAGCAGUAGAAGAAGCACCGGCUAACUACGUG
rnacentral:rRNA from 1 species